CUUGUACUCCCUCCGUCUGAAAAUACUUGUCAUUAAAAUGGAUGUAUCUAGAUGUAUUUUAGUUCUAGACACAUCCAUUUUGAUGAAAACUAAUUCCGGACGGAGGGAGUACUUG
rfam:Triticum urartu cultivar G1812 contig636559, whole genome shotgun sequence.